GACGAACGCUGGCGGCGUGCUUAACACAUGCAAGUCGAACGGAAAGGCCCUGCUUUUGUGGGGUGCUCGAGUGGCGAGCGGGUGAGUAACACGUGAGUAACCUGCCCUUGACUUUGGGAUAACUUCAGGAAACUGGGGCUAAUACCGGAUAGGAGCUCCUGCUGCAUGGUGGGGGUUGGAAAGUUUCGGCGGUUGGGGAUGGACUCGCGGCUUAUCAGCUUGUUGGUGGGGUAGUGGCUUACCAAGGCUUUGACGGGUAGCCGGCCUGAGAGGGUGACCGGCCACAUUGGGACUGAGAUACGGCCCAGACUCCUACGGGAGGCAGCAGUGGGGAAUAUUGCACAAUGGGCGGAAGCCUGAUGCAGCAACGCCGCGUGCGGGAUGACGGCCUUCGGGCUGUAAACCGCUUUCGCCUGUGACGAAGCGUGAGUGACGGUAAUGGGUAAAGAAGCACCGGCUAACUACGUG
rnacentral:rRNA from 1 species